rnacentral:rRNA from 1 species
UACGGAAGGGGGCUAGCGUUGUUUCGGAUUUACUGGGCGUAAAGCGCACGUAGGCGGAUCGAUCAGUCAGGGGUGAAAUCCCAGAGCUCAACUCUGGAACUGCCUUUGAUACUGUCGAUCUGGAGUAUGGAAGAGGUGAGUGGAAUUCCGAGUGUAGAGGUGAAAUUCGUAGAUAUUAGGAAGAACACCGGUGGCGAAGGCGGCCCACUGGAUCGGUACUGACGCUGAGGUGCGAAAGCUAGGGGAGCAAACAGG